AAGAGCAAAGGGGAACUAAAUCGGAUAAAGGAAAGGAGAAAGCAAUCGAAUAGCCGAGUUGGAACCGUUCUACCCAACACAAAGUUUCCUGGACUCGACUUUUUGCGUACUCGGGACCGUCAUCAAAGUCAUCACACCGGCUAGCAACUUUUGGUAUCUUCUUUUUAGUUGGUCUAGGAGAACAUUUCGGCAUGUAUAGGCUAUUAUGUUUUGUUGAAAUUUGGUAUGUAAACUUUAGCCAUGCGAAAAUGGCAUAAUGUUCGGUUGGAUUUGGUUCUAUGAUGUUUGGACACAAGUCUUGGUAA